CUAUUGUAAAACGUGAGCUCUACGCCUUCAAAUCAGCCGCAGAAAAUACUCCAAGAGAUUUGCCAUUCAAGUCGGAGACCUCAUAUGAGCUUGUCCCUUUCUUGGCGACGAUAAUACACUGAGUAUACGGAGGACCAAGCUUCGCAUUAAAAGCAUUGCCCGCCGAUGAUUGUCGGAAUGAUCGUUUGUAAACAAGUUGUCCGACAUUAAACGUGGAGAGUCACUGCAUCCAUCCUCGAUCGCGUCCACGAAUUUGUGCACUGUAGGACGAAUACCGAAUUGCUGCCAAAAAUCGUAACCCAAUAUGCAUCUACGACUCAACUUAGGAGCAAUCACCACUGCAAUGUUGCUGAUAUUGGCGGCGAGCAUCGCGGUACGACAUUCCCCGCGUGUUCCGGAAAAGAACAUCGAACUUCCGUUUUUCAUCCCAUGGAACUGGCAUACCCCGGAAGAUCCGGACCAUGUCUAAAUAAUAGUCCUGAAACUUCUCUCUUGCGCCUUGCUUCCGGUUGUUGCCUUGCCGCUCAUAGACGUAAUCGAUAUCGACAGGCGGUUUCGCAGUACUCUCUCUAGCUGACUGCGCGGAGCAUCGUGGGCUAGCUGACGAAUUUUUAACUCAUGCUCUAGCUCAUCAACAGAUAAAUGGGCAGUAUUCAUCCCAUGGUACAGCGACAUCAAAUGCCUCAUCUCCAUCUUGAUCACAAAAUUCAAGGAAAAUCACUGAGCGAUAACUUGAAAAAGAAAAAGGUUCGCUCAAGCGAAUCAAGAAAAAAAAUCAAGCUUUAAAAAUUGUAUUCAAGUUACGCUAAAACAAACCGAA